rnacentral:rRNA from 1 species
CAGUCGCCGCGGGAAUACGUAGGGUGCGAGCGUUAAUCGGAAUUACUGGGCGUAAAGCGGGCGCAGACGGUUACUUAAGCAGGAUGUGAAAUCCCCGGGCUCAACCUGGGAACUGCGUUCUGAACUGGGUGACUAGAGUGUGUCAGAGGGAGGUAGAAUUCCACGUGUAGCAGUGAAAUGCGUAGAGAUGUGGAGGAAUACCGAUGGCGAAGGCAGCCUCCUGGGAUAACACUGACGUUCAUGCCCGAAAGCGUGGGUAGCAAUCAGGAUUAGAUACCCCCGUAGUCCCUGUCUCUUAUAC